UUCGACACACUAUCAUUAACUGAAUCCAUAGGUUAAUGAGGCGAACCGGGGGAACUGAAACAUCUAAGUACCCCGAGGAAAAGAAAUCAACCGAGAUUCCCCCAGUAGCGGCGAGCGAACGGGGAGGAGCCCAGAGCCUGAAUCAGUGUGUGUGUUAGUGGAAGCGUCUGGAAAGGCGCGCGAUACAGGGUGACAGCCCCGUACACAAAAAUGCACAUACUGUGAGCUCGAUGAGUAGGGCGGGACACGUGGUAUCCUGUCUGAAUAUGGGGGGACCAUCCUCCAAGGCUAAAUACUCCUGACUGACCGAUAGUGAACCAGUACCGUGAGGGAAAGGCGAAAAGAACCCCGGCGAGGGGAGUGAAAAAGAACCUGAAACCGUGUACGUACAAGCAGUGGGAGCCUCUUAAUGGGGUGACUGCGUACCUUUUGUAUAAUGGGUCAGCGACUUAUAUUCUGUAGCAAGGUUAACCGAAUAGGGGAGCCGAAGGGAAACCGAGUCUUAACUGGGCGUUAAGUUGCAGGGUAUAGACCCGAAACCCGGUGAUCUAGCCAUGGGCAGGUUGAAGGUUGGGUAACACUAACUGGAGGACCGAACCGACUAAUGUUGAAAAAUUAGCGGAUGACUUGUGGCUGGGGGUGAAAGGCCAAUCAAACCGGGAGAUAGCUGGUUCUCCCCGAAAGCUAUUUAGGUAGCGCCUCGUGAAUUCAUCUCCGGGGGUAGAGCACUGUUUCGGCAAGGGGGUCAUCCCGACUUACCAACCCGAUGCAAACUGCGAAUACCGGAGAAUGUUAUCACGGGAGACACACGGCGGGUGCUAACGUCCGUCGUGAAGAGGGAAACAACCCAGACCGCCAGCUAAGGUCCCAAAGUCAUGGUUAAGUGGGAAACGAUGUGGGAAGGCCCAGACAGCCAGGAUGUUGGCUUAGAAGCAGCCAUCAUUUAAAGAAAGCGUAAUAGCUCACUGGUCGAGUCGGCCUGCGCGGAAGAUGUAACGGGGCUAAACCAUGCACCGAAGCUGCGGCAGCGACACUAUGUGUUGUUGGGUAGGGGAGCGUUCUGUAAGCCUGUGAAGGUGUACUGUGAGGUAUGCUGGAGGUAUCAGAAGUGCGAAUGCUGACAUAAGUAACGAUAAAGCGGGUGAAAAGCCCGCUCGCCGGAAGACCAAGGGUUCCUGUCCAACGUUAAUCGGGGCAGGGUGAGUCGACCCCUAAGGCGAGGCCGAAAGGCGUAGUCGAUGGGAAACAGGUUAAUAUUCCUGUACUUGGUGUUACUGCGAAGGGGGGACGGAGAAGGCUAUGUUGGCCGGGCGACGGUUGUCCCGGUUUAAGCGUGUAGGCUGGUUUUCCAGGCAAAUCCGGAAAAUCAAGGCUGAGGCGUGAUGACGAGGCACUACGGUGCUGAAGCGACAAAUGCCCUGCUUCCAGGAAAAGCCUCUAAGCAUCAGGUAACAUCAAAUCGUACCCCAAACCGACACAGGUGGUCAGGUAGAGAAUACCAAGGCGCUUGAGAGAACUCGGGUGAAGGAACUAGGCAAAAUGGUGCCGUAACUUCGGGAGAAGGCACGCUGAUAUGUAGGUGAAGCGACUUGCUCGUGGAGCUGAAAUCAGUCGAAGAUACCAGCUGGCUGCAACUGUUUAUUAAAAACACAGCACUGUGCAAACACGAAAGUGGACGUAUACGGUGUGACGCCUGCCCGGUGCCGGAAGGUUAAUUGAUGGGGUUAGCGGUAACGCGAAGCUCUUGAUCGAAGCCCCGGUAAACGGCGGCCGUAACUAUAACGGUCCUAAGGUAGCGAAAUUCCUUGUCGGGUAAGUUCCGACCUGCACGAAUGGCGUAAUGAUGGCCAGGCUGUCUCCACCCGAGACUCAGUGAAAUUGAACUCGCUGUGAAGAUGCAGUGUACCCGCGGCAAGACGGAAAGACCCCGUGAACCUUUACUAUAGCUUGACACUGAACAUUGAGCCUUGAUGUGUAGGAUAGGUGGGAGGCUUUGAAGUGUGGACGCCAGUCUGCAUGGAGCCGACCUUGAAAUACCACCCUUUAAUGUUUGAUGUUCUAACGUGGGCCCCUUACCGGGGUUGCGGACAGUGUCUGGUGGGUAGUUUGACUGGGGCGGUCUCCUCCUAAAGAGUAACGGAGGAGCACGAAGGUUGGCUAAUCCUGGUCGGACAUCAGGAGGUUAGUGCAAUGGCAUAAGCCAGCUUGACUGCGAGCGUGACGGCGCGAGCAGGUGCGAAAGCAGGUCAUAGUGAUCCGGUGGUUCUGAAUGGAAGGGCCAUCGCUCAACGGAUAAAAGGUACUCCGGGGAUAACAGGCUGAUACCGCCCAAGAGUUCAUAUCGACGGCGGUGUUUGGCACCUCGAUGUCGGCUCAUCACAUCCUGGGGCUGAAGUAGGUCCCAAGGGUAUGGCUGUUCGCCAUUUAAAGUGGUACGCGAGCUGGGUUUAGAACGUCGUGAGACAGUUCGGUCCCUAUCUGCCGUGGGCGCUGGAGAACUGAGGGGGGCUGCUCCUAGUACGAGAGGACCGGAGUGGACGCAUCACUGGUGUUCGGGUUGUCAUGCCAAUGGCACUGCCCGGUAGCUAAAUGCGGAAGAGAUAAGUGCUGAAAGCAUCUAAGCACGAAACUUGCCCCGAGAUGAGUUCUCCCUGACUCCUUGAGAGUCCUGAAGGAACGUUGAAGACGACGACGUUGAUAGGCCGGGUGUGUAAGC
rnacentral:rRNA from 1 species